CCAAAUCCAAGACGCAAACCAAAAGAUAGUAUAUACGCCCUUGGCAGUUGGUUGUCGAUCUGACGUGCAAACGUACAGCCGAAAGGAACGUUGUCCCAGCCUGCGUGCCCGUGCGUGCGGCUGGCGUCGGGGCUCCAACGUCACGUCACGUACGUCGCGCCGGCCGCCGGCCAUGGACUCGUGGGAGCACUUCUUUCCUUCGUCAACCAACCAAACGGUGGAGAUACCAAUUAGCAAAUUAAAUUGUUUAGCAGGUGCCUAUCUGCAGCCACGUGAGAGGAACAAUUCCUCGACGCCAUUGCUGGCAUAUACUACUAGCAAUGUACAGGUACGGGAUUAGAUAGAUGGUGUUAGUGUGACGAUAACAGAAAGGGUGGGGAUCGACGUCCACAACAUCUGCUUUCAGCUAGCUAGCUACGAUAAACCGGGCCAUAUAUCCACCACCGGCCAUCGUUUUCGAAAAAAAAAAAUCCACCACCGAACCUUAUUUUCGUUCGAAAAAAGAAUAAAUCCAUCACCGAAUCUCUCGGAGAGAAUUUCAUAUUUGCCAUUUAAAUUUUGCUCAAAUGAUACUCAGAAUUUCCAAACUUUGCCACUCAAAUUUUGCAUGGGGUACAAAAUAUGUCACUAUGGUUAUUUGACCGUUAAGUAAGGGAUGAAAAGACAAUUUUGCUCCUGCAUAGUACGUUGAUUCUCCCUUUACAACAAAGUACUCACUUUAGAUUUAUCAAAAAAAAUUUACUCACUUUAGGAUCCGCGUUGCCAUCCCAGCCCAUCAAGCCAUCAUCAGCCGGUGGCCCAUCUCCCGUGCUACGGAAGUGCCGAACGAAACCGACCGACUUGCAGCCUCGCAUGGUCCUCAUUGCCCAAACAAAACAAAACGAGGCUGAAUUAAUGGGCGC
rnacentral:lncRNA from 1 species